rnacentral:rRNA from 1 species
GAUGAGCGCUGGCGGCGUGCCUAAUACAUGCAAGUCGAGCGAACAGACGAGGAGCUUGCUCCUCUGACGUUAGCGGCGGACGGGUGAGUAACACGUGGAUAACCUACCUAUAAGACUGGGAUAACUUCGGGAAACCGGAGCUAAUACCGGAUAAUAUAUUGAACCGCAUGGUUCAAUAGUGAAAGACGGUUUUGCUGUCACUUAUAGAUGGAUCCGCGCCGCAUUAGCUAGUUGGUAAGGUAACGGCUUACCAAGGCAACGAUGCGUAGCCGACCUGAGAGGGUGAUCGGCCACACGGGAACUGAGACACGGUCCAGAGUCCUACGGGAGGCAGCAGUAGGGAAUCUGCCGCAAUGGGCGAAAGCCUGACGGAGCAACGCCGCGUGAGUGAUGAAGGUCUUCGGAUCGUAAAACUCUGUUAUUAGGGAAGAACAAAUGUGUAAGUAACUAUGCACGUCUUGACGGUACCUAAUCAGAAAGCCACGGCUAACUACGUG